AUUCGAACGGAAAAUUUAACCAAAAAUAAUCUGAAAUAUAACAUCUAAGUAUGACCUCAAACUGAUCAAAUCCGAAAAAAUAAUUAUCCGAACCGAAUAUGACUGAAAUUACCUGAUAAGAUAUGAUGUGAAUUCAAAACUAAAAUUAACUGAACUGAAACAUAUUUGAUAACUUAAAAUUAUAAAGACAUAUUUUUGCUAGAACUUUGGAUUUAUUUUUCUCAAUUUUCAUAUUUUUUUUCUGAAUUGCUAUAUGUUUCUUGUAUUUUAUGAUUUUUAAUUAUAAUAAUUGCUAUAUGUUUCUUGUAUUUUAUGAUUUUUAAUUAUAAUAAUUGCUAUAUGUUUCUUGUAUUUUAUGAUUUUUAAUUAUAAUAAUUGCUAUAUGUUUCUUGUAUUUUAUGAUUUUUAAUUAUAAUAAUUUGUUUAAUAAAUUUGUAAAUAUAAAUGUAUUCAUAUUGUUCCUUAUGUAAAUAGUUAUAUAUAUAUAUAUAUAUAUAUAUUAUUAAUAUUAAAUAUGAUACUAAAUUUUAAGAUUCUAAAUAUAAUAUAUAUUAUAAUAUGCGUUGAUUAGAUUUUGUUGUAUAUAUUUGUUUGAACAUCUAUAAUUAAUUAAUAUACAUUAUUAUUUUAAUAUAUAAUAUAACUGACGAAAUUCGAACUUUAAACCUUACCAAUAGUUUAAUCAUUAGUUUAUUCAUUGCGAUACAAAAUAUUGUUUAGAUUCCUCAAUAUAUAAUUUUUUAUUUAUUUAUUUUGAUAUCCAAUAAUCAUUAAUCUUUUUUAUCUAUGUUAACCAGCUAAUCAAAUUAAUCAAACAUAUCACAUGUCGCCUGUCGGUAAAAAUAAGUGUAAUAUAUAUGUGAGAGUUAGCACAAAUAUUAUUUAAUAAAAAAGUAUAUAAAUUUAAUAAAUAUUAUUUUUUUAUGUAUGUACUUGAUUUUUUUUUUCUUCUAAAACUGUAAUAUUUUAUAGUUAGAGAAAAAUUUGCAAUCGGAUCCAAAACCGAUCCGAUUAUCCAAUUUGCCAGGUUUAUACACCAUAACGUGUUUAGAUUCUCAAUUUUUUAAUGCAAGGGAAAUUGAAGAAACUGAAAUCAAGGCUUUGGAAAGACAACUCAUGCAGUCCAUAGAAACUUGCAUUGCCAAGAAGAAGAAAAUAAUUCUUUCUCAAAUAGAGAUGGAGCGAAUUCAAGGGUCAGAAGAGGUACAUUUGUUUUGGUAUAUUUUCAUUUUUCUUCUUUUGGAAGAAUUUGAGCUGUUAUAAUCCUGUACAUCCUCACUUUUAACUUUAAUAUUAUGCUCUCUUUUUCUUUUUUGGUGCUUGCAUUUUGGUACUUUAAAGGUAAAGCCUCCACUCAUGAAAUGCUGGUAGGGACUUACAUAUUGGUGUUUGUCUGGUGCUUGAAAGCUGAAACAAUCAUUUACAUUUUUCUAUAAAUAACAUUUUGAAGUAUAUUAAAUGUUUUCCCUUUCUGAAAUGAUAAUAUAUGUGGUUAGUAUAAUAGGGCUGCAAACUUAUCAGAUACAACCAUACCAGAGAAAAUCUAUGGUUUUUAUUAAGAUUCCUAGUUUGUCAUCAGCAUACAGACCCAACUGCAGUAUAACGAUUUUGUGUAUCCAGGUAUUAUGAGUUUCUUAUCAUAUUAUCUUACUAACUGUAAAUACAAAAUGUAAUUUUAUAGAUCAUGUAACAACAGAAAAUUUAGCAUGUUGGGCAGUGGAGGCCCCAGGUUUUAGUCCUGUAGACUGUUGAUAAAGUAAAAAAGUUAUUUUUGAUUAAUUUUUUGUUGAAAGGUUGAAAUUUCAAUUAAUAACUAAAGAAAAAAAUGUUAGUAAUAUGAUUUAUUAAUCCAAAAUAGUUAAUAUCCGCUAAAUCAUUCGACUUAAAUAAAUUUGAAGUAGACAUCUAAUUAACGUGUUUUUAUUAGGAGAGAUAUAGAAGAUGCAGGAUCGAUGUGUCUUUCACAUGGGUUAUGCAAAUGUUGUUUGAUCUUUUGUGAUCGUAUUGUUACUCAAACAACUCUUCUUAGCAUAAGUAGGGGUAGGACUUAUUGUAGUGUAGCUGUUCUCUACACUGCUUACAAAGAAUCUAGAGGUUCAUUUCCUAAAAUCUUCCCAGUCCCUUAACGUUCAAGGGAAGUGAGAAGUUUAUCUGUACCUGAGUACCUCAUUUACUGACUGUGCCCUUUAAGUGCAUAAUGUAAAUUGUUAUUAAGAUUUAUUUAUCAAUCUGAUGGUACCUUCUAAAGUGGCUGGGUUAUAUACAAGAAAAUAAAGACAAAUUGAACUACUUCAAGAAGUGUAAGGUUUCCGUCUAGAUGUCAUACGAGCUUAUAGUAAUUAUGGUCAUGACAGGAUCCAUAUAAAUUAUGUAUAUAUAUAGAGAUACUAUGUUAACAUUUUGAAUCAUGAAUAAAAUAGUCAUAUCGAUCACCGACUGUAUUUCAACUCCAGCCAGUCCUACAUGCCCCAUUGUCUCUUUUAACGACUGUAAUCUGUGAAUUUAACUUCGUUAUUUGUCUGACAGAAUCUGUUAUAAUAUUGGAAUCACAGUGAUAAACUAUUUACCAGUUCACCGAUGUCAGAAUCAGACUAAUAAAAUACCUAUUGGCAUAUAUGUUCCAGAAACUGAAGGGUAGCUCAAUCUUCAAGCGCAUUGUUGGGACCGUUGUGCGAUCUGUCCAAGAUGAUCAGAAGGAACAAGGUAUGAUUUCACCGAAUCAUCAUGCAUAUGAUUUUCCUCGAGUGCAAUUUAUUAAAGACAGUCUAAAAUAAUUUAAGUUCUUUGGAUCCUGUAAUUUCUAAUCUUUGUUAGCUAUUUUAUUCGGAUGUUACUUUUUGUAGGUUCUCUGAAGGUAAAAAGUUGACUGCUAAAAUUUAUUUUUCUGUGUCUUCAAUUUUCUGUAAACUUACAGCUGUGCUGGGCUUCAUAAUUUAAGAUUAUGUAAAAAAUCGGUCUUAACUCUUAAACUGUCUUGUACACUUCAUUGGUUCUUCUAGAAAUUUACUUUCACUAAUAUUUGUUCAUCACAAGAUUCGCAAAAAAAGAUAUAAAAAACAAGGUUAUUUUUAGUUGGUAGUUGGGAAGCAUGGUAAAACCCAUAUUUGGUUGUCUGGGAACAACUUUCCUUCCGUUUUGGGGAUGUUGAAUGUCACGCAAAACCAGGUAGUGAUUUGUAAAUUUUGAGAACUAAACAUUUUGAGUUUGGUAGAUAUAACUUCAAUUUAUAUUAUUGGCAGACUUGCAUAAACAGACUUAACCAUAUAAAGUCUCUACCUAAGUAUGUUCUUCAGUGUUGUGCUAAUGUAAAACAUUGAAACAAAAUUGUGCUAGUGUUGUUAGUAUCACAUCUUUGACUGACCUACCACUGUGCUUGUAUUUAUGGUAUUUUGUAGUGUAUAUCAACUGAAUUAUAAUGCAAGGGUUUAGUUUACUUCUCAUAAUUGCUCAAUUACGGUUUACCUCAAGUUUUUGAGUAUGCAAAUGGAUGCAUUGUAUUAUUUGGUAUAUCAUUGCCCGAUUUUGUAUCCGGAGUUCCUUCACAGUCACCCUUUUUCUGUUUGAAGAUAUUAGAAACAUGGAAUCAGAGGUACAAGCUCUAGAAGAACUCUCAAAACAGCUAUUUUUGGAAAUCUAUGAGCUUCGACAGGCUAAGGUUAACUAAUCUUCAUUUUGAAAUCAAUUGCUGAGACUAAAUUUUGUUUGCUCCCUAUAUUUUUAUUAAAAAGUUUGAUAAAUAUUAGCUUAUAUUGACCAAUUGUUAUAAAAUUUGCUAAUAAUGCCUUUGUGCAGCAGCGUACCCAAGAAGGUUUUAGUGGGGAUGUAGCCUUCACAUUCUGGGAAUAUUAUUUCUAAAAUUUAAGUUAGCUGCAAUGGUAUUUAUUUUAACAAAAGUGUUUUUGUGGCAUAGGUAACAGGUUGUUGGUUCAGUUCCCUACUAGACCCAGAUUAUCAGACCUAUCGGUUUCUUAUUGGUUUCUCUUUUCUUAUAAUUUUUUAUUAAAAAACACAUCACCUUCCUCUUUUUCUUUAUUUAUGACUUUUGCAUUUGCAACACUCUCUUGAUUUCUAACUGCAAAUUUUUACUCCACUUUCUUAUUAAAAUGAAAUGAAUUAUAUCUUUACGUAUGUAUUGCACAAGUACUCGAGCCAUAUUGAAGCUUUAAAAUGAAGAUUACUACUGUGCCAAAUUUCACUUUUUGUAAUCUUAUAAUAGUUUAUAUUAAACUAAAUAAAAGAUGCAAUAUGUUCUGUUGUGCCUUAAUGUUUGUGUUCUUUUAACACAAUGUAUAUAUCUGUCCAUUACUCUCCCUGGCGGCUGAUAUCUCUUCCAACAUGGUUGGUUGUUUACAGGAAGCAGCUGCAUAUUCACGAACUUGGAGGGGUCACCUACAGAAUUUACUUGGUUAUGCAUGCUCAGUGUACUGUGUAUACAAAAUGAUAAAGGUACACACUACAGUGGGUUAAUGGGUGUUCAUGUCCAGGUCAACUGAUUAAUUCUUUCAUGAAUAUUGUCAAAAUUGUUUACCGAACUUAUGUUGCUAGAAAACAAUCCUAUUUACAGCAAUAAAGUUGAAAAUUGCAAAAGGUCAAAUAUGGAAACAGUAAAAAAGAAUGAUUAGUGUUAAUACAAAAAGUUGUCACAAUGAGAAAAACUUUGUAUAUUGAUAAAAAGUUGGUCAACUGGAAAUUCAAUAAAGGAGGUACUUUAGAAUUAGCUUCCAGGCAGGUAUAACAAAGAAGUAAAAAAAUAAAAAGUUGGUGUGCAUCAAUAGUUGAGAAACUCAUUAUGCCAACACAAGAACCCUGUUUUAGAGAACCCGACAUAUAAUGGUUCCCAAGUGUGUCUAUGGUUGUGUUUCUAGGUAAGCAACUAAGGGUGCUCAAUACAUUGAAUAACAUUUUCUUGCUCAAUUCAUGAAAUGACUUUUCAUAGAGAUAUGUUUUGCUGUUUUUUUUUUAAAAUUAGGUGUGUUUAUAAAAGUUAAAUUGCAACAUGAAAUUCAUGACUGCUGUUGUUGAUAUUUGGUCCUGAGAACUGACUUAGUUCUGUAGCAAGUGUAUACAGUUUCUUUCCGAAGCUAGUCACAAUAAGGACUUGAUUUUUUAUAAGACUAAUACUACAUAUAUCUACACAGCCUGAUGAAUUAAUCAUGCAGACCUUAAGUAAGGUGAUGCAUAUUUUCGUACUAGUACAGAGGUUAUUCUUUGAUAUGAUAGGUACAAGUAACACACUCUUGGAAGUUGGAGAAAAAAUUGUUUGUAUCAAAAUUUGCAGAAACAAUUUUUAAUAAGGUUCUGUUGUACCAUUACCCGCUGGUUGUAACUUGCAAGUCAUCUUUUUGGAAGCAUGCAAAUUGCUUUUAAACGUGCUUUAAUCGAGAGUUCUACAUGUUACAUCUGUAGUUAAUGUUACUUGUCUUGCGAGAUCUUGUUAAUCACUUUGCAGUAGUAUCUUAAAACUAUCAUGUAAACCCAUUUUCUGCUUUAUGGUUAAUUUAAACGAAACUAUCUGAUUCUCCUUUUCUUUUCUGUUUUGUAGUCGCUGCAAAGUGUUGUUUUCAAAGAGGUACCAGUAUUUGUCUCUUUCUUCAAUACUUUGUCAACUACAUUAGUACAUCUGACUUGCUAAAAAUCUUCGUAUCACCUAUUUAGUUUAUUGAGCUUGUUGCCUCCCACUCCGCAUUGUUCGUACUACUUGAAGCACUUGUAUUUAUGAAAAAAUAACAAAUUGUUUCUUGUAUUUCUUCAUUUGACAGGCAGGUUCAAUUGAUCCUGUGACAAGAACUAUCAGCAUAUCCUUGCAAUUCUUUGAUAUCGGCAUCGAUGCCACAUUAUUGUCGCAGGCUAGUCAAUUCCCCAGUUUUAUAGAAUCUCUUAUACACCCUAUUACCCAUAAUUAAGCUUGUGUGAUAAAAUAUUGCAUACAUAUCACUACUGAAGUUAUGUUUAGUAUAUUUUUGUAACGUUGUUAUUGAUAGCUUAACUUUUUAGAUGAUUUGGUACUAACUGCCUGAAGGCAGCUAAAAUGUUAGAUUCAUGUCUCUUCCGCACACUACCAAAUGUACCUUGUUUGUUAUAUUUAACCCACCAACCAAGCACGAGAGCUCGUGAAUGUAGCCUUCCAACUUGACUUUGCCAUUAAUUAAACUUAUUAGAGAUUAAGAAGUAGCAACAACUCCAAAAAUGUUAAGUUGCAAGUGGAGUUUCUAAUUUGAAUAAAGAAUCAUUGAGGGAGAAUGUUGAUCUUUGAUGAUUAAGAAGAGAUGCAGCUACUGUGGCCAGCUAGUUGAAUGGGCUAAAGAAUUUUGUUAGUUGCUGUUACUUUUUAUAGGACCAAAGAAUGUUAUUUGGCUGCUGUUAUUUUGUAUAGGACACUAGUAACCUUUAGUUUUGUGCUUAAAAUUUUUGUAUGCUAUUUUAAUGCAGUUUAAGAUUUCACUGGGAACUUGAAGCUGGUAAGUUAAACACACAGCUAAUCGACCCUUAUAAUCACAUAAUUGUUUUCAGUUUAAGUAGGAUUAUGGCUUUCCGCCUACAUGCUUGUAGAGUCACAAUAACAGGAGAAACCCGGUAUCACCAUUCACCAGAUUACUGAGUAUAUAAGUCUUCCCCAAGGUGAAAUUUUGAUAAAUCAUUUUUUCGUCUAUACUGAGUGACAAACCUUCAACAUGUUUCAGUCUGUACGCUGUAUAUAUGUAAUUGUGAUAUGUUGUCAUGUUGAUGGCUUGACAAACAGAUAUAAUGCUAGAGCGCCUCUCUUGCCAUUAAGCUACCCUUAGAAUGAACGAAUCAUAUCAGGACUUGAUUGUUAUGCGGGACUCCUAAAGUUACAACUAAACAUUUUAAUGGACUUCACAGUUACUCUUCAGCUUCUACUUGUAAGUACUUGUUUGUGUAUUGGAGGCUUUGGCCAUAAUUCAAUUUUAUUUUUUUGUGCAGUAUAUCUCUCUCUUGUUCAUCGGAAUGUUGGUUGUGAUUUCUGUGCGUGGAUUUUUAUCUAAUUUAAUGAAGGUACAUUAUAUGAGACCAUUUUCAGUAUUUUGGUGCAUGAUUCAUAUUAUAUUGUUUUUUUUUUUUGGGGGGGGGGGGGGGGGGGGGUAUAUAAAAAAACAGAUCCGAGCUCUUGGAAUUUGAAUAAGUUCGGCAGCAGAUCACUAAAUCUUGUCACUAAAUCUUGGUGAUCUUCUCUAUCUAAUGAACCAGCGUUUAUAUAUAGAAUGGGGGAGUUGGCGAUUUACCCUACUUCAGUGACUUUUGGUCACUGGACGUUCCCAAAACUAGGGUACGUAUCGGGUCGGGUGAAUUCAAUAAUAGACGCCUGUUGGCAUAUUAUUAAAUAAACCAAAAUGUUACCAUGACUGCUAUUGGUAGCAUUAAAACAACAAGUUCAAUCUCUCUUUUUCCUGAAAAUAUAGCCAAAAAGAAAAAAGAAACGAAUUACCAUGUAAUCAGGCCAGAUCUCAUUUACCUGGAACUAUUGGGCAGUUCUUUAGGUGGAUUCCAGAGGCUUUCAGUUUACUUUCUGAUAUAUGUAUUGUGAAUUUAGAUUGUUUGCUAAAAACACUAUACACGCCUGACAUUGCCUUUGUGCAGUUUUUCUUUGCCGUUUCUCAAGUGGGCAGUGGAUCUUCGAGCAAUGUUGUGCUGUUUCUAUCCGAAAUUAUGGGAAUGUAUUUUCUGUCAUCAAUUCUUUUAAUUAGAAAAAGCUUGGCAACUGAGUACAGGUAUGCCAUUGUUAGGAUCAUAAGAUGUCGGUCAGCUAGUUGCUGUUGGUAAUUUCUACUCUAAAUAUAUUGCUUCAUAAAUGGUUACACUUUGGAUAGAGAACUAUACAAGGAAUCAAUAAUAGAAAGAAGAUGAUUAUAAUUUUGAAUUUAAGAAGUAUCACAGGAUUAUCGAGGAGGAGGUUUACUCACCUUAAAAUUGAAAAUGAUAUAAACUGGGGUUUAUGAUUUCUAGACUUCGAACUCAAUGAUUCCAAGUUCCGGUGUUUGUAGAUAGAUGACCCUCUGUUUCUAUAAAGCACAAAAAAUUUGCUGUUUUAGAAAUACAAAGAACUGAUAGUGCAACAGUAAGAUAAUGUGUGCAAGUCUGAUUUUGUGAAGUGUUUUUUGGUGUUGCACUGUUGUAUGCAUAUGUUUACAUACAGAGAUUUCACUAUACACCCAUAUAUAAUUAUUUGUACAUACCUAAUCUGUGAUAUACUCUUAUCCUAUAUUAUAAUACCUGAGUCUACCACACUCCAGUUAACCAAUAAGAAAAGAGGACUUAUUUUACAGCCAAUAAGAAAUUGAUCCUAAAAUUUAGACCAAUCAAAUUAUAAUAUUCUUUCUAUCAAUUAUCUAAAAUAUCAAUCAUAAUUAAUAUUUAAAUUAUACCAAUGAGACGAUAUUAAUAAAAUAAUAGUAAUUAACUACAAUGCACAUUCUUUCAAAAAAAAAAAACUACAAUGCACAUCAAAGACUAUUCUACACCAACUCUAAGUCAUGAACUCCCGUAAUAAACCAAAUCAACCUGGCUAACCAAUAAGAAAAUAGAAAUUAUUUUAGAACCAAUAAGAAAUUAAUCCUAAAAUUUAGACCUAUCAAAUUAUAACACUCCUUUAGUUAAUUAACUUGAGCUCCAAUCAUGAUUAGUGGUAACCACUAAAAAAAGAGGAAUCAUUUUAGAGUCAAUGAGAAAUUGAUCCUAAAAUUUAGACCAAUCAAAUUAUAACACUCCUUUAAUUAAUUAACUUGAGUUUCAACCAUAGUCAAAUUUUAAUUUUUAAUAAUAAAAGACCAAUCUAAAAUUUGGGCCACUUAAAAUUUAGACCAAUCAAAUUAUAAUAUUCUUUCUAUCAAUUAUCUAAAAUUUCAAUCAUAAUAAAUAUUUAAAUUAUACCAGUGAGACGAUAUUAAUAAAAUAAUAGUAAUUAAUUACAAUGCACAUCAAAGACUGUUCUACACCAACUCUGAGUCAUGAACUCCGGUAAUAAACCAAAUUAACCUGGCUCUAGACAAGACAUAGAACAACUAACAAGAUAGAAUGUAUCAGAGAGAGGCUAAAGUUCGGAUAGCAGCAAUUUUUAAGACAAAAUUUUCAUUAUAUCAGUGGCUGAAAAUAGAUAUAAAAAUCAAAUAUAUUUAUCUUUUUAAAUUUUUAUUUACAUAAGUGAAUUUUUAUAAAUUUAUAUUUUUACGACAUGCUCUAUUGUAUUUAAUAAUUUAUAUUAUUUCAUAAAUAGGUAAAGUGCCUACAAAUUUUCUAAAAUAUGGCUACAAAGACUAAUUAUACACAUAUAAAUGAGUUUAUGAAUUCAAAUUAAAUAAAUUAUAUAAAUAUAAUAUUACAAUAAUGAUUGAUAUUAGGGGAUGCAUCCAUUCGUUCCGAUCAACCUUCAUCCGAAAUUAUGUAAUCCGGUACGGAAAAAUGAAAAAGUUAUGACCUUUAAAUUGCUCGCCACGCUCCUAUCCCCAUUCUAUAACCGGCUCCCAAAUCCUCAUCUAUACUAUAAAAAAUUAUAUACAAAUAUUACAUAAUUGUUGAAAAUAAAAUUAUUUUAUAUGAGUCCACCCCUAAAUUUUUAUAUGAUUAAUGAAUAUUUUCAAUUUUGGAUCAAUUUGAUAGAUCUUUGUUAAAUUAUGUGAGUCUUGACACCUUACAGAUUAGAACGAGCUUUUUAUUUACUUGAUGACAAAUAAAAAGUUUUCAUUUGUUGCGGUGGUUAAAAUAUUAACAUGUAUUACGUGACGGGCAUGGUCUUUCGAGUAUUAUAUGAUAUAAAAUUAAAUAUAAUCUAUUUAAAAAAUUAAAUAAACUCAUCUAAAAUAAACAUCAAUCAUUUUUAUAAGUAUAAAUAUAUAAUUAUAAUGAGAGAUAUAAUAUAGAAUCAAAACAAGUUAGCAUCUAGAAUGACCAGUUUUUAGAAAUCUCACGGUGACUUUGUAGUUUGCUAGGACAAAAUUUUCAUUAUAUCAGUGGUUGAAAAUAGAUACAAAAAUCAAAUAUAUUUAUCUUUUCAAAUUCAUAAUAUUUAAUUUACAUAAGUAAAUUUUUACCAAUUUAUAUUUUUACUGCAUGCUUUACUGAAUUUAAUAAUUUAUAUUAAUUUAUAAAUAAGUCAAGUGCAUACAAAUUUUCUAAAAUAUGUCUAUAAAGACUAAUCAUGCAGAUAUAAACGAAUUUAUGCUUGCAAAUUAAAUAAAUUAUAUGAUAAUAAUAAUAAUGACUAAUAUUAGGGGAUUCAUCCACCCGAUCCGAUUAAUCUUAAUAUGACAUUACUUUAUUCAAUACGGGAAAUUGGAAAAAUAAUAUACUAUAAAAAAGUGUAUAUAUAAAUAUUACAUAAUUGUUGAAGAUAAUCUAAUUUUAUAUGUACAUUUUUUAUUCUCUUAUUAGUUUUCAAUAUUUUAUAUUAUAAAAGCGAAUUAGUUUGGAUCAGCAUCGAUGCAAAUUGAAACUAAACCGAGAUAAUUCAAAUCUUGGGUUCAAAAACAGGAGCAUGGAUUUCAUUCCAGGAUCUCUAAACGAUAGUCAAUCCUUAUACUCCCUCCGUCCUGGCCAAUAGUAUACACUGGGGGACGGGGACGGGGACGGAGACGGAGACGCGAAACGGAAUUUAAUACUUCAAUAAAGUAUAAUUCUGCAACUUAUUUUUAGGAUAUUCUUUUUUUUUGUAUAAAAAUAUAACACAUUCAUAUUUUUAUACAAGAAAAGAAAAUUUUAUAAAUAAAUUAUAGAAUUAUAUUUCAUAAGAGUCUUGAAAGGUGUGCCGAACGAUGAAAGAUAAACGUAUACAAUUGAAUAGGACGGAGAGAGUAUGAUAUUUGAUUGAAAAGAAAAUAUGGUUAUUUCAUUUAAUAUAAUACGAGGGGACAUUUGCGUUUUUUUUUUUUAAGAAAUAAUAUUAUUUUUAAAAAAUAUUAUACUUAUAUUAUGUAAUAAAAUUUUAUGAAUAAUAUCAAAAUAAUAUAUUCUUGAAUUUAUAAGUAUACAAAUUAAAUUUAUUUUAUAAAUAUAAUCGUUCGGUGCGUAGCACGGGUAAAACGCUAGUAUAUUAUAGUAAUAAUGUAGGAUAUCAAAGAAUCAAAAUUACACGAUCUAUAAUUUAAGCGAAACCCUGUACUAAUCAGUACAAUAUCUAACUAUCUGAGACAUGAAUACAAGGGGUUGAACAUAUAGUAGGUCAUUGAAGUGGUUUGAACAUAUCAAGUAACUUACUGAAGUCAAAAUGAUAGAGUAUCAUUUAACUUAUCAAAUUAUAAAUAAAUCUCAUUCGAUCAAACAUAAAAGUAACAGGAAAAAGUGGACUAGCUAUCGAGUAUCUCACUAAAGUAGUUGAAUGUAUCAAAUAAUUCAUUGACCUAAUGUGGUAAUUAUUUAUUUGAAAGAAAGAUGUUUCUACUGAAUUUAAUUUUAUUAAUAUAGCCUAAAAAAUGAUGUUCUUAUUUUUAAAUUCAGUGAAAAUUAUACAAUUAAUACAAUAAAAAAUAAUAAUGUUAUGUUGAUUUAGGUUACAAUGUUGUAGUUAACAUAAUGAAAUAAAAUAUAUUACAAGAAUACAAUGAUGAAACAGGUUCAAGUAAAUAAACACGAUUACUAUUCUUAAUAAAAAAAGAUAUUUUAUUGGAAUAAUAAGCAAGUUAAUAUAUCUUUGAAAAAUAAAUUUAAUUAAUUAAACCUAAUGAAACUAUUGUUAUUUAUUUCAUUUCCAUUGAUUUUGGUGGGUUACCUGAUAUUAAACUCACUUCAGUGAGAUAUUUGAUACACUUGAUACAUAGUUACUUUCUACCCCUUAAAUUUAACUACAGUAAGUUUUAACUGAAUUAGGCUUAUUGUCAAUGUGGUGAGUUAUAUUAGACGGUUUUGACUUCAGUGAGUUAACUAAUAUAAUCAGGCCCAUUUGACGAGUUAUAUAAUAUUUAACCCUAAAUAUAAAAAAGAAAGAUAUUGGAGCGGGUAAGACAAAUCUGAUUGCAUAUGGACAUAUUAGGAUUGAAGAUUUAAUUUGAUCUGUAAGUUUGGCUACUUGGUGGGCAACAAUGCUGUUGUACAACUUGGCAGAUAACUUUUUUGUAUUAUUUGCCAACAGCAUUAGGGCUUCUGUCUGUUACAGAGGUACUACCCAUAUUUCGGUAUUAUUAUUAAACUCCGUAAUCCUUAUGCAAGUGUUCCUUUAGCUUGCUUUGAUUGUUUGUAACAACUGGUUGCUCGUUCUUUUGAUUUGCCUUGAUUUUACGAAUGCCAAGUAGCAGGGUAUGCCUGAAAAUAAAGCCUUCUUGCAGGAUGAUAAUAACAGAUGUAUUGGGCGGAGACAUUCAAUUUGAUUUCUACCAUAGGUGGUUUGAUGCUAUCUUUGUAGCAAGUGCUUUCCUUUCUCUGCUUUUGCUUUCUGCACACUAUACAUCUCGUCAAGUUGACAAACACCCAAUUGAUUAAUUGAUUAGCUCCUUCGUAGGUGAGUACCUCUUGAUUUACUGGGCCACUAUUGUAACAUUAGUAAUGCAACUUGUUUAUGCGAUAUAUCUUGAACUCUGAACAAUAUAGUGCCUGAUGUUUAUCCAAACAGAUACUUUUGCUUGGAUAUACUUUUGCGGUGACACUGUUUUUUCGCUGACAUCUGAAAGUUAGCGCUGUAGUGUAGUAUAUCAAGUCCCUUAGAGAGCUUUGGAGUAUGAAUGAUAUUGCCACAUUCAUCCUUGAGAUGGAAGGAAGACCCAUGUAAAGGAUAUAAUGUAUUUAUAUCCACUGCCAGAGCGCAGUCCUCGGACGUGUGAAAUGAGUAGUAUAUGGUAAAGUUCUCUUAGAAGAAGGGUUACUGUAAAGGCUCUCUUUUAGAAUGGUAAAUUGUUUUUUAAGUGAUGGUGGAGCUCUAGGCAAUGUGUGAAAUAUUAGUUAUAAUUAAUUAAUAUAGUUUGAGAUGUGUUAUAUUAUUCUUUCUAGAAACAUGUCAAGUGUAAUACAGAGUUGCAGACUACUUUCUCAGUGAUGACGGUCUUUUAUGAUGAAAGCUGUGGUUAGUGACUAAUGAGUUUGAGUUAUUUUGAGAUUGUUCGAUUUCUUGUUUCUACGUCCAGAUUUCAGAAUAUACUUCGACAUAGAUGUCCGAGGAUGAUACUACAAAUCCAUGUAAUUUAUACGUAUUGUUUUUCCACUUGGGUCUAAAAAUAUAUUUGUAAAACAUGAUCCGAACGAACUUUAUGUCCGUUUAAUGUGAACGAAUAAUAAUAAAUUUAAAGAAACCAGAUUUAUGCAAAUAGCUUAUUUAUUACGGGUCUAAUAUAUUAUAAUAUAAUUGGAUUACAUUAUAUAUGUAUAUAAAAAUGAUCAAGAUGUAGCUGGAGCUGUAACAGAUAGACGUGCCCGAUUUGAGAUGAAUGAAUUGAAUUUGAAAGGAAUAUAAUGAAAUUUGAAUUAUAUUAUAAAAUAGGAAGAAGGGCAUGAUUUAGUUUUAAAUCAAGUUCUUUUCCAAUUUAGUUCUUUUCAUGAUUUAGUCUGGCUGUAAAUUUUCUGGAAAAUAUUGUGCCUACAUCAGUUUAAUUCUAAACAGAGGAAUAUAUUUGGUUUAUAAAUCGGUUUUUGUUGCUUACAAUUCAAAAAGGAGACGAUUCAUCAUUAAAAUAAUCAAUUAAUGAUAAUUGGAAUGACGAUGGAGGAUAUGAGAUCGGAAAUUUCAAGGAGAGUUUGAAGAAUGAUUUGGGACUAUGGUUCUAUUCCAGAUCAUAAAAUUAAAAUUCCAAACACCAACAUACAGUAUAUGGAUUUAAGAUUUCACAAUUUAAUUGCACCAGGCCUACCCCCAGAUUAUCUACUUCCCAACUCCAAUGCACAUUUCCGAACGACGAAAAAUUUACUACUAUACUAGAUAGAUAUAACAGAAUGAUAACUAAUUUAUCAAAAAGGUACAGAAGUUCCAACAUUGAUCUGUCCAUACUCCAUCGCAUCAACCAGGUACAAGAUGUUCACUGACAAAUAGUCUGUCAUCCAACUAACUCCGAGAAUUCUCUUCACCUAUCUCAUCUUCAGAAGCAACAGGUUCAUCUUGAGGGGACUUCGAUCCUGCCCUAUCUUCCCGAUACUUUGAAACUACUUCAGAAGCAUCAACUUCUGUUGAAACGUUUCCAUUUUCCGGCUCCACUGUUAUACUAUCUCCAGGCUCCUUUGCAGUUUUAGUGUCACCUUCAGAUUGAGUUUGUGAAGCAGAUGAUGGAGGUGUAACAGAAACACCCAUUCCUUUUGAAAGACAGACAUACUUGAAGACUAGUUGCUUAUAGUUAUUCAGCAGUUCCUCUACAUCACUGAUUGUUAGAUCACCAGACUUCGCAUACAAGUAGGGAAAUUCCAUGAACACUUGUUUUGAGUUCUCAUCCUUCAUAAGCAUGUUCGCUCCUUGAUUUUCCAGAUCUGAGAUCGAUGGAACUGUAUCCAAAGCAUAUGGAUCCUUUGGAUGGGAUCUAUCAUUUCUCGAUUUAGUUUCCGACGUUUGAGGUGGGACUUUUGUCCGUGUUGUAGUCCCCAGACGCUUAGUUUCCUGAUGUUCAACGCUCUGAUCACUUUGACUGGUCAUAUUAUCCGAGUCUGAAGGACCAAAGAGAAGGGCUUGAGCAAAUUCCAUGUUUUUUUCAAAUUCAGUGUCUUCCAUAGAGAGAGAUUUCGCAUCAAUGUUCAUAAUGAAUGACUCAGCAGAAAGCAUGUUAGUGAAAAAAUAGGCUGCCUCUGAAACUAAACGGGAUUGACUCCUGUAACGUUGUAUAUACAACAAAUUUGAGUGCAGUUGAGGAGGGUUUGCCUGCAAGUGCAUCCUGACAAUCAUUAUCAACUCCCUUUCUUGGUAAAUGGAAAGAACAACAUUGUAUAUGUCAAUAACAAAUAAAAUGACUCCAGAAGAAUUAUUAACAAUCAAGAGCAUACAGAGGGUAAAUGUACAACAAGAAUUGCGGGCCAUAACUAUUUUCCCCAAUCCCCACAGAGAGAAAAUCUAGAGAUUUCCAGUGUCAUCCUAGACACUGAACUUGAUAAUCUUGUUCUCUUUUAUUAAUGUCAUUUUUAAGCACCAAUAAAAGUAGACCUCUAAUUACAUAUAUGUUCUCGAUCAGAUAGCAUUCAGAAUCAUACAUAUAAACCUACUACAUGUAAAGAGUUAGAGAGUUCACCUUUAUGGUAACAUAGAUAAGAACAGGAAGAAAUUCAUCAGCACCAGGAGGAUUCUCAUUUGAAGCAAUGGAAGCAUUGAGCAGCAAGUUAUUGAUAACCUUGCAACAGUUGAGAAUGCAGACAAGUUUGUCUCGUGGAGCCUUGUACAUGUUUAUUUUCUGCAACUCUUUUUGUGCAAGCUGUGAUUAUGGAACUACAAAACAUUAGCUAUAUACAGAGAUAUCAACAAGAAAAAUCUACAUAUGAGUGCCCACUCAAUGAUGUGAUGGGGCAAAAAUUUGUAAUAUGCUCAAGGAUCACCGUAGACUAGAAAAACGAAAAAGGGAUACAUUACAAACCACCAGUACAGAAGAAAUCUUAAACACUCACCAACCAUGAUGUUUCAUUUUGAUAAAUUGGCUGAAUAUCCAAAUUCUCAGGACGGAUGAAUUGCUGUAUUAGAGCUACUUUCUGGUGGAGUAGGUCGUCUUCAUUUACCUCUUCUGGAACUGAAGCAUAUACGCGGGUAAAUAACUUUGUCAUGACAUACUUCUCCAGUCCCUGAAUUUGAGAUAUAUAAGUGAGGUAAAUUAAACAUAUAACUACACAAGAAUCGAAAUAAACAAAAGAAAUUUUCCCGUUGAUAAGAUAAGAGCAUGAGUAAUGAUGUAAGUAAGAACAAGAAAGCUGAAUUUAGGAGCAGAACUGAACUGGCAGUGAAUUUUCAAUGCAAGAUAAAAAAAAAAUGGCAGUUGCAAGGCUUGGCCUAGAGGAUGCCCUCUAUUAUUGGUAAUAAGAGGACAAGGGUUCCACCCUUCAAGCCUCAGUGGAUGCAUGUGUGCGUAAGUGACUAAGUGUUAAUAAUAAUGUAACUAAACUUCACCGAAAAAAUAGCAGCGGGAAUAAUAAUAGAAUUUAAUAUCAGAAGCUGAAAACACUAUGUCUACAACCGAAGAGGCACUGAGAUGCUCAGCACAGCCAAUAAGUUAAAUUCCGGUACAAAGUAGACAUGCGAGGAAUGAAGAAUCCUCGUCAUAAAUUAAUUUGGAAACAUUUUUACGAUCCACUCUACAGAAUCUUUGCUACUUAUAUAACAAAUACGGCUUAACAAUAUAGCACUAACUUGUAAAUUCACAUUGAUUUCCUAUGAUUAUCUCAGGUUCCCUUUCAAGCUCAAACAAUUGUCCUGAUGCACAAAUUAUAACUACAACUGAAAUAUGCAACAAUGUUAAGUCUUAAGGGUCUCUGAGCAUAUCAAUACGCAUCCUGAAGACAUACCAACAUGUGCUCAAUACUUCUGAAGUCCCAACAGAAAUAUAUGCAAUAUGCAAAUAAUUUUUAUCCUCUCUCUCUCUAUUCAGAACCUAGAAAGAAUAGGAUAUUACAUGUAUGAAUGCUGUUAUACUCAAUAUCCCUAACUUCACCACCUUUGAUUUUAUGCGACUUGAAGGAUUUGACAAAGUACUAUGUUUGCACGAAAUAGGUAUCCAAUCAAUGCACAUGAUAAAAUUGUGCAUAUGAAUUCUUCCUUUUUGUAAGUGUGUUAAGAGAGUAAAAAGGAGGCAGAAAAACAUAAAGUCAAACUAAUGAAAGCAAUUAAUGGUAUUAUUCUCUUCCAUUUUUAUGCUUUGGUAACCAUAAAGGGAAGACUGGAGAUAUAGGGCAACUAUUGAGAGGGUAACACAAGUUUGUGAGCACAUCGAAAACAAAAAAUCAUAAUUUAUUUCUUUAAUUGGCUAUUUACUUUAAUUAGAAUAUUUUGCAAAAUGAAUUAUAUCACAAUUUUCCAUUGGUUGGCAUUUAUAUUUCAAGAUGCUAUUCCAACAACCAUAUAUAAACAUAUCAGCAGCAUGGAAGAUAGAUAGCACAAGAAGUCAGUAAAUGAAUCGAAUCUAAACCAAUAAAACCUUGUGGCAUGAUGCUUUAAACAGGAAAACUAUCUGUUCAUACUUUAUAGUGAUACAUGUAGGCAUUUCUCCACACAGAGCAAAAAGUGAAAUCACUUACCUUCUUCAUCACACAAAAUAUAAAUCAAAGACAAUAAUGGAAUUACAGGAAGAGCUAAACUUACUUCACCAGCGCUGUCCAACUCUUCCUCAGAACAACCCGCCCAAAGGGAAUGAGCCCUAAAAGCAGCUUCCAUGUUACUAAGAAAAUUCUGUACAGCGGCACUGUCCCUCUCUGGAUCCGGAGUAUUGUUCAAGAAUGAUACUAUAAAACUUUAAAAGUUACAAUACUUUAUGUUAGAGCACUCAUUCGUAGAAAAUUAAUGAGAUGGCAAAACAGGUCAAUCAUGUAGAAUGUUCUAUAGGUAUGUAUUAAUUAAGCAUUCAGUUACUUUCUGUAUAUAGAUGGUGUGCAAAUACAAAACCAAUAUAAAAUAAAAACUACACACAAAUUGUAAGUUUACAAUGAUAAAUUAAUUGCCAACAACAGUUUAAAAAAAUGAUGGGAAAUCUCUAAAAUGUUCCUCGGUAAAAUGGUCUAACCCAGUGGUACACGCUACACAAGUCAUUUCAGGACAUGGUAUGAGUUCAGAUAAUUGGAACGUCAUCUCCCAUAAUUCAGAUAGGAGGAUCCAUAAAUCAGAUAUGCGGGAUGGGUUUGAAGACCUGUUAUUAAUCACUUAUUUUAUUUUUUGAACAUUUGGGAAGAUAUUCUGCCUAGAGGUUUCUUUGUACUGUUGCUAUUACGCGGAAUUAGGUAUGUGGUUUAAUGGCAUGACUUGUGAAUCGUGUAACACUGGGCUAACCAUUAUUGAAAAUAUAAUUAACUGUGAUAGUAGUUAAUUGUCCUGUUGUCAGUGGUGAAAGAUAUUAGUACUUACCACAUUAUUUUGAGAUAUUUGAUUAAUAUUACUCAACUGUAAUCACUUUGGAGCUUGUACCCUGUACGAUAAUAUAUUGUGAGCUCAAACAUUACUAUCUGUGCAGGUUGAUAUAUAAAUAUAACAGCAGUGUUACUUACAACAAAAUUAUAUACAAAAAGAUGAUUAAGUUUACCAUUAUAUGACAAUGAUUAUGCAAACAUAACAAACAAACCAACAAUCAUUACAGCUUAUUGAGUUUAGAUCAACAAAAUCGAUAACAUGCAAAUUUAGUUAAGAUGAGUGAUUAACCAAGCUCUAAAAACAUAUAUGUAAUACAAGAGAAAAUAAAUGUGUAUGGGUAGAUGUAUGUUACCUUUUGAUGGAUUUGACGAAAUCAGAAGCAGAGGGAUGGCGCAUGCGUUCUAGGAAGUCAUGCCAGGUGAGUGGAGCCGUCGACGAGCUAAACACGUCGGCGUUCUCCAUAUCCACAGAUAGACCGGAGACGAUCAGCAAGUCGAGUGGAGAAUACCAAGUCAAGUUAAAUAGCCCCCUCUAUUUUUAAUUUAGUUAUUGUUUCCCUGCAAAAAAAUAAUUUAUCAUUACUAAAUCUGUUAUAUGGAAAAUGUUUUGGUGUUUUAUUAUUAUAUAUCAGGGGAGUAUGAAUUAUCAUUACUGAAUCCAUUAUAUGAAAAAUGAUUUGAUGUUUUAUUACUGAAUCCAUCGUAUGGAAAAUGAUUUGAUGUUUUAUUAUUGAUGGGAAUGGGAAGCAGGAACGGAUACUAUGGGAAAGUAAAUGGGAAUAAUUGGGAAUGGUAAGACUAUUGCUUCAGACAAAUCACCACAUCUGCCAGUGCCACAAGUAGUUGUGUUAGUAAUAACUAAAUAGUGAAGGGCAGAGGAUAGGCGUGAUUGAACUCGAGCCACCUACUAAAGUCACGAUAUCACAUACUGCAAUUGCAACCUAGAAAGCAAGGAUGCUUCAUCUGGGUGAAGAACUGCGUAUGGGAUACUUCACAGUACGGGGGUGCGGCGGGAUACACCACGACCACGUAGCGUAUCGGUGACGUCAAAGACGGUAAUACGCGAGGAUACGUUAAUGGGGGUGCGAGGAUACGUCAGAAUGGCAAUUUUCGUAAUUUCCAGCAACUUUUUUAAAAAAAAAAACCUUUAAUUUACACAUUUAAAAAAGGUUAAUUAGUCAGAAUAAACAAAAUAAUAUAUUUGUGUGUCUAUAUGAGUUGUAUAUAUAUCUGCUCGUGUGUUUAUAUAAUUUGCAGAUCUCUGCACUUAGGUACUUGUAUAAUUGGUGAGUGUGUGUAAUACACACACACACACACAUCCGCACUCGCACUCAUGCUUCCUAGAUUGCAACUAAACAUCUACUACUAUUUUUAGUAAAAGGGAUUAAUUAACAGGAACCAUGCAAAGUAUUUCCAGUGAACAUGGGAUUGUUCUUCAAACUCAGCUCAUCCGAUAAGCAUUUCCUCCACUUCCAUUAGCCUUUCCCAACCGAGGGGUCCUCGCAGGUUUCUCGAUCGGACUCAUGUACACCAUUUACAGAGGCAAUAUGACCUUGAACUAACUAGGUAAGCCACCAUUGAUGUUUUGUAAUUUAUUUAAUAUAAAACCGCUUAUAUUUAAACGAUAAUAAGUACAAAAUUACAAAGUAAAGUAUGUCAUUUCUGUCAAAAGUAUAACAUUGUAUUGCAGACACUUGCGAAUUGGUCGCCCAUUAUUUGUACACUGGUGAGGAUUAUGCAGAGGAUAACUUAUCCAGACUAAAGAUUGAUCAAGUUCAGUCAAGAAGUGGAAAAAUUGUUAAUUAUAGCAGGAUCUUAGUGUAGUUGGCCUGAUCUUUCCAAGGAUAAGGUCCUUUAGUUUAAAAAUAUUACGCUUACUAGAACAACCCAAGUAAUAUAUUUUUAUCCUAAUUGCUAUGAGCCUGUCUCUUAAUUAAAAUCUUGAUCGCUCUGUUCUGUUCUAAACGCCCUUACAGAUCCUAGCAAACAUAUAUCUGCAGGAUCAUGGCAGCAAUCCUGGAGAUCUGCAGAAACUUUAUGAUUCACAGAAAUUGCAUGAGUGCUCACGCCAAGUUGCGGUCUUUUCGCACAGAGUCAGCAAUAUUAGAAGGGAAAAAACACUAUCUGUAAUGUAUGGGGAUAACCUAUGGUCAUUUGGCAGAUCUUUAUGUGACUAUUUUAACGUUGAUUGAUGUGCAUCGCAUCACAAAAGAUGUUUGGAGAGAAGCAGCGGAGGGUUGACUGAGCCUGGAGUCCGGCGAGCUCUUCAGCUUUCAUACUAACACCAUAACUCAGGUAUAUUUUGCAAAUUUUUUUUUUUGGAAUAGCAGGUGUCAGGUCUCCACUUUCGAGUGGGAGAUAAUCUUUCCGGUUUAGUUUACAACCCCAUAGAAACGAAUCAUCUGUAAAUUUGAUGAUCUAGUAUUACUAAGACUAAUAGUUAGACUUUUCCUUCAUUAGUAUCGCUUAACAUUAAAAUGAGACGAUUCUUGUGAAAUUAUCUCUCCAUUGUUACUCAUCGGAAGCAAGUAAAAUCAUCCUAAAGAUUAAUCUUCAACUUACUCAUCUCGAUAAGCCUAAUUUAUGCUCGAAGGUAGGCACACGCUCUUUAAUUACGGACAAGCACAACCAUUACAGUCUCAAGCUUCUAGCCUCUCUAAGUAAAGAUGUUAUACAGAAGCCAGAAUCCUAUAACUCUAAUACGUCAAAAUCAAAAAUCACAAGUAAUUAUUCGAGCAGCUCGCAAGUGUAUCUAAACCAACAAUUCUAACUCAAAAAACCGAUAAAACCAAGCUAAUUUUAGGGGUCUAACGAAAUCCUACUGUGAAUAUGAGUUAGGUAAUUAAGCUCACCUAUUUCAAUUGCUUCUUCGCCUCUUUGUAUUGUAUUGUAUUGUAUUUGAAGCUACCAAGCUCUCGCCGAUCUGCCUCUGUCUUCUUCUCAGAUGAUUGCUGUAUCUCUGUGUUGUUUUCGUGGUCAAACUUUUAAGGUGGAUUUUCGUGAAAUAUAUAUAUAGAUCUCUCUCCAGGAACCUGCUUCAAAACAAAAACCAGAAUUAGCAGGGAAAAAAUGUGCGAGGUCGGGAGACGGGAGAAAAUUUGAGAGAAAAAGUACGGAAUUAUUGCGAUUCGCAGAAAAUCAAAUUAGAAAUACAUGUCAUUAUCCUGUAUUUAAUCUAUCCGUCAAAAAAAAAAACUGUAUUUAAUCUGGAUUUUAAUAUAUUAAUAAAAAUUUAAAGAUUUUGAUAUAUUAUAUGUGAUUUUGAUUAUAAGCGGACUUAAUCCGGUAAUUUGGCACUUGAGAUGCUAAUACGAAAUGAAACAAUACGACAAAAAUAAAUAUGGGUUUUGAUAUUCGAUAUGAGAAAUAUGAACACAAAAUUACAUGAUAGAUUUCGUAUUGGAUAUGGAAUUUUAUUUUGGAACAAGACCUUAUACAGCAUAUUUGCACAUAAUUUUUAUUUUCAUAUAUUAUAUUAAAUUUAUAAUUAUGUAAAAAUUUUAUAUUUAUAUUUAUAUUGAAAAACAAUGUAUAAAAUUGUAUGCAAGUAUAAAUAUAUAAUUCAUUAUAGUGAAAUUAUAUAGAAAAAUAUUUUUUUAAAAUAUUUUCUUUAUCAUUAAAAUUAUAUUAAUAUUUUUGCAUAUAAUAUACACGAACGUUUACGAGUAUUAAGUUAGGUAUGAUGCAGGUUCUUCAGGUACACGAAAUACGAAAUCUGUACACUGUGCAUGGUUGUGAUAAUAUUGCAAAAAUUGAAAAAUUCCAAUUUUACUAAUUUUUAUACUAUAUAUAUUGAUUGAUGUCUUGUUUAGAUUUUCAAGAACCUGAUAUAAAUGUUUUAAUUAGAAUUUUUUUCUUUAUUACAUUAGUGUUUUCACUUUUUGUAUAAAUGAAUCUAAAAAAAACAUAAAUAUAUUUUAAUGAGUUUGAAUGUCGCUUGUGGCCUUGAUUGAUAUUUCAUUACCAUUUAUGUGCGGACACUAUUGGGCGUAUUUUUGAAAUAUAUUUUUACCAACCUUUAUUUCUUAUGUGAAAUAAUAUUUUCUUAUGCUUACGCAGUGUUAACUAUAAUUUCUAUUUAGUCUAGAAAUACUCUUUAUUGUGCAUACGUGGUGUUAACUACUGACGUGUGGUGUUAACUACUGACGACAUCUAGUUCAAUUAUUAUACAUUUUUAUACUUUUACUUCAAGAAUAUAUGAGUUUUUAGUUGGACCCCUUUAAGAGCAGCUUAGGCACUACGCAGAGAAUAUAAGACUUAAUGGUUGAACCAAAAUAUCAUGGAUUCAGUUAAGCAACUUAGGUGGGGUAUGUUAAUCUGCAUACCAUGAGAUGAGAUUCUCUAGUGCUCUUUCUGGAGGAAAAAUUCUUCAACAUAUUAUUUCAUGUUCGUAAAACAGUGAUUUGAUUUAGAUUUGAAGUUAUUUGAUGUUAUGAUUUUUACUCGACCGGUGUCCUCGUUUGGAUUUAGAAUAUUAACGAUGAGUUGUUUUUUCAUGAUCAAUGAAAUUCAAUCGAGUAAAAUUUAUAACACCACACCACCUCAAUUUUUAAUGUGAUUGGUGCCUUUUGGGAUAUAAAAUGAUAGGCUAAAGGAAUAAUUUUUUCCAAAAAUGAGCGGUACAAAAUCUGACUUCAUGGUGUGCAGAUUUUACAAAAUAAACAUAUCCGUGCCUAAGAGCAACAACAGCAGCCUCCUCACACUGCAUCCUAAGUUAAAUUAUACUGAAUUUGAUGUAAAACCAUACUCCGACAGAUUCUCUAUUCCCUCCUAAAAAGUUAGGAGUUGGAAGACUCUCCUUAUACAUCAGCUCCUAAACUAAUUUUAUAUUAAUACGUAAGAGAAACACUGACAUUUGAAUCUGUUGCAGAAAAAGACAAGUAACAGUUACGAAUAAAGAACUGAUUUAUAAGUGGACAAAGAGAAUGUUGAGCAAGGCUGUUGGAGUCUUAGUAUUCACUUCAUGUGUAAAUGAGCUAAGAGUGUUUAUUAUAAUGAUUUUUAUGAGGAGGUAAUGGAGCAACUCUUGGAGUUGCUCAAAGUUGGAAUCCACAAUAGACUGGUUUUCAGCUGUUAAGUCUCGUGUUCUCCGCAUUGGACAUAGGUUGCUCUUAAAUGAGUCCUAACUCAAAACUAACAUAUGACUGAAGCAGGAGUAUAAGUGCGUACAUUUAUUAUUGAACUAAAUGCCAUCAAUACUUAACAUCACAUAAACAUAAUAAAUAUUUAUUUCUCUGAUUCAUACAUAAGAAAUGAGUAUUGGUGAACAAUACUUUAAUUGUUGGAUUAAGUAAAAGUCGUAACUAACACCCCACAACCAUAAUUAUGUUAUUUUACAAGUUAGAUUUGUGUUGUCAAUUUUAUUUGAUUCGGUUGUUCAUUUAUUUUAAGAAGAUAGUUUCGCAUGGACUCAUUUUAACAUAUCCUUCUUUAUUUAUUUUAUUACAUUAUUGAAAUUUUGAUUUUGUUUAUUUUUCUUUUCAUUUCUUUUCAUUUUAUCCCAUAUUAAUUCUCAUUUUUGUAAACGAUACAAAUAACAAGCAGAUCAAUUAAGACAAUCUCUGAGACUGCGAACAACAUAAAAAUAAAUUUUCUCUUAUAAAAAGACUAUUUAACCAAUAGCUAACAAAAUAUUAAAAUUCAACCAAAUUACAAAUACAUCACAAUAAUAAAUAAUUAAUAGAUAAAAUAUAUAAACAGUUCAUGUAUUGUUUGUGCGAAAAUAUAGUAAAUCACAAUUCACACAUUUUAAUCUGUACGAGUUUAUCUAAUUAACAUACCUUCACCAAAAACUUGGAAGGUUCCAUAACAAAGACCCAGAGAUGUUAAGGCCCAGGUCCAGGCCCAGCGGGCUCGGACAGUCCUAAUAUUCUAACGUACAUCCUAUAUUGCACGUGUCCUGUCUUGACAGAUUUCCUAAAUCAAACAAAUACUAAAUUCUCCUAAUUUCUUACAAAAUAUAUUUUAUAAACCUCGUCAACAAUUUACAAACUUGAGUUUCAUGCCCAAACGUCUAGAAUACUAUUUCCAGAUUAAAAUUUCAAUUCCUAUCUCUAAACAGUAUACACACACAAGAGGAGCUGUGUCCUGUAUGUAUAUGUGCGUGUAUAGUGUGUGAAAAAGCUGUAGAAAAACACACAGUAGUCAUCUCAAUAGUCCAAUUCUCAUCCGUACAUAUAUAUUCUCCCCCAUAGACUUAUCGUGUCUUUUUUAUAAUAAUUUUUACUGUUCUUAUUUUUAUUAUUAUUGCUACCCUUUUGAUUUUAUUAUAUAUAUUUAAUUAUAAGAGAGAUGCAGAAGCUUGAGAAAUUGAUGAUUAUAGUUGGACAUGGUGAAGCGUAAGGAACGAAUCGUCACUGACCUUUACUCUGGAACUCCUAACCCUCAGGGGGUAUGUUUUUUUUUUCCCUGAUUUUUUUGAUUUUGAUUUUUAGGGUUUUUAUUUGAUUUUGGUGAUUUUAUGUAAUUUGGGUGUUUCAGUACUGUUUGAUCUUGAUUUUGAGUUCAUCAGAAUGAAUUCUAUCUGUGAUGAGAUUUUUUUUUGUUGUAAUUUUGGUUUUGAUUUGUUUGUGUGCUUAAUUUUGUAUUGUGCCACUAAGUCAGUCCUGCCAGUUCUGGAUUAUAUAUAGAUUGUCAAGUGUUUACUGUUGAGCUUUUCGGAAUAAUAAAAAAUUUUGGGGAAUAGGGUUUCGAAAACUUUGAUUGAUGAUGUUUGGUUUGGUUUUUAGACUAGCCCACUGUUGAGUGAUGGUUCUAACUUCUACGAUGAAAAGGGUCUGUUGGUGGAAAAAAUUAGGCUGUUAGACUGUAAAGGCAAGUUUAGAGGUUAAUUGGUAUUCUAUGGUUUCUGAAAUGGCAGUGUCGUUGUCUUUAUACGAACUGAAGUUUGGCAGUUCUUGCUAUUUUGAGAUUUUUAGGACUGUCCUCGAAAUAUGAUAACUUCUCCUCUUUUAAGCUAUCCAGUGCUUUAUGCAUAUUGGACCAGUAACAGGAGUCUGUAUACAUGUAGCUGGUUGCUUUGAAUUUGGCAGAGGGUGUUACUGCACUUAUUUAUGUAAUCUUGUAGAGUCAAAUCAUGUCUUACUUUUGAAGUAGCUAUUUUAUGUGGCUGAUUCUCCUUUAGAUUAUUUUAUUUUAUUUUAAGAGUAGAAACUUUUUAUGAGAUGGAACAUAUAUAUUAAUUUGUUAAUGAUUACAGAACUAACUAUUUUGUCCUUUUAAACAUGCACCAUAUUGUUCAUUAAAUUUGAAUGUACAAUGUAUUAGAAUGAUAAAACAAAUGUUUAUUUAUCAGGUAUAUGUCCAUUAUAGUAAACACAUUUUCUGGCUGUGUACACUUUUCACAAUUAUGGAUGCGGUUACAAUUGUAUUUGGAUAUAUGAUAUGCAGAUAUUUAAACUCGUAUAUCUGCUGCUUGUACUCAAGUGUCUGUUUUGAAUCACUGAUUUUGGAUGUUGAAGAUAGUAGUUAUCCAUUUGUCGGAAGCCAAAACUUGACACACUUAUCUUCUAGUUUAUUCCCUCACUGAUACACAAUCACCUUUAGUUUGUGGGUAUCUUAUUAUGGGGGGUUCUAUUGGUUAAUUUUUCAUUUUACCAUGGGCUAAUCUGUUAUGCGAAUCACUUCCUUUUCUUUUAAUAAUGUUUUACAAUAUAAAAACAAGCUAGUUAGUGGUUUCUUUAAGUUUCAAAUCGUUUUAUAUGUGUAAAUUUUCUUUUCAUUAAGUGUUUGUGUGAUAUUGUUAGGUGACAUCUCAACCCAAUAAAGGAAUUCACAGGCAUACUUUGGAUCAAAAUAUCAACGUGAAAGUGGACCCUGGGACAUGUAAUGUGUGUUUUGCUCCUUGUUCGUCUUGUUUGCAUACCAACCGAACUCGUAUGGAGCCCAAGAAUGCUGAAUAUCUAGAUGAGACCUCUAGAGAAAGUGCAAUCAGUUAUUCUGUAGAUGAUACAGUUGAAACUAAAAAGAGCAGAGGACGUAAGAGUUCACAGCAUACUGCUAGUGAAGAAGGUAAUAUGAUCACUAUGAAUUCCAAUCUUGGUUUGUGCAGUGAAAAUGCUGAAAUGGAAACUGCUCUUGAACUUACUAAUAUAUCUGGUUCAUUUCAAGAUACUGAAGUACCCAACAAGUUGUUAUAUGGUGGACCUGUUAAAGAGAAGCUUCACACUCCAAGUCCACCUAAAAAGGAUUUAGAUGAUGGUAAUUCCAUGAGCAACCUUGUGGACAUGAGAGGUCUAGAAGGUCAUGAUGACAACAUUUCAUGUGUCAGUGGCUCUGAUGAAGCAUCAAACAUGUCUAAUUCUAAUAAAGAAAUUACAGACACAAAAGCUUUAACAUUUGCUGGUUCUCCUAGUAGUUUAGCUUCUGAAGAUUACAUUAAAGCUGGUCAAUCCCAAGAAGCUUCAUUUAUGGAUAAGCAUAAAUUAGAAGUUCAGAACAAAUCUAGCGGGGAGGUUUUAUCUAGAGCUGUUUCUGGGCAGAAAUCUGCUUUAUAUGCAUCUUGUGAUAUCCAGGAAAACAUAAUUGGUCAUGUUGGAGGGAACUCUGAACCUUCGGCAAUAGAAUGUCUAAAGGUAGAAGCAGAGUAUAACAGGGUUGAAUUCCCGAGCAAACUUCUAAUUUCUUUAGAAGAAAAGAAAGAAGUAGAGAAGGACAGCGAGUUGCUUGCAUUGCCUGAAGCCAGGGAAACAUCUAUGCAUUCUGAUCCAGUGAAUGAGAGUGAUGAAUCUGAUAUUUUGGAACAUGAUGUAAGUAUUGUUGCUUUCACUAUUCGUUUUGAUAGCAUCGGUUGUUAUUUCCAUUCCAUGAUUGCCUCAUCUUGGAUAUCAUUACGAAAAGUAUUAUUUUUUGAGGGUCUUUUUGUGCUCACUUACCUUUCUGAUUGAUUAGAAACUUCUAAUCUCUUGUUCACAUUGUUAUAUGUACUUCCAAAACAAGAACAUUUCAGUCCCAUUUCCCCCUCUUUUACAACCUUUCUUCUAGCAUAUUCAUUUGUAAUAUCAGUUUUCUGAUUCUUGGAUCUCUGUUACUACACUUAAAAUUAUAUAUUCUGUCAAUUUUUGUUGACCAUUGUCUUGGAUACUCUCCAUUGAAUAUCUGGAAAAUCAAAACUGAAAGCAUGGAUGGUAUACUUAAUUAUCGUUCCAUUCAAGUACAGUCAGCAUUUAACAGUAUUACGCGACCAUAAAAGGCUUUGAGUCGAAAGUUCUUGUUCUAAUGUUCUGUAUAUGUGUGUCUAUGAACUAUUGAAUAUCAAAUUUGUAGUACUAUAAGAUGCUGCUGCUCCCUAGAAACAGAUGAAUGUUUAAAUACUUUUUAUGUUGUAAUUUUAAUGAAGGCGUUGUUAAUAGCUUGCUGCUGCUCACGAUAAUAGCUCUUCUCCUAUUGAAAUAUUUAAUAUACAGUAUAAGAUUUGUUGAAUACUGGGAUUUCUGGAUUAAUUAAUUUGGUUUGCAUUAUAAAUUUUUCAACCUGUACCUGCUCUACGCCGCCCACAUCUAACCUCACAGUAUUGUCGACUUGUUAUGCAAUUCCUCAGUGUUAAUUGUUCUUUGUAAUGUGAAGGGUUUUAGUCAAGUGAUUGAUACUUAUUUAAUCUAUUGUCUGAGGAAUAGAUAAAAGUUUGUGAUAUAUGUGGAGAUGCGGGUCGCGAAGAGUUACUUGCUGUAUGUUGCAGCUGUAGUGAAGGUGCAGAGCACACGUAAGUCAUUAAAGUAGUAUCAAAUGCAUUUGUCUGGAUAGAUUUUUUAAGAUUCUUCAGGUUAGAACUAUUUAGCAUCAUUCUUAUUAAGUUCUAAUGUUGCCAGUUAUUGCAUGAAAGAAAUGAUGACUAAACUUCCGGAAGGAGACUGGCUGUGUGAAGACUGCAAGUUCGAGAAAAGAGAAAGAGAGGAGAAAGCUAAAUAUAAUUUAGUGGAUGGAGAUGGUGUUGCCCAAAAAAAUGCUGAUCUUGGAAAUCUAGAUGGGUUACACACAGAUGCGAACAUUAUUAAAGCUGAGAAGGAAAGUUUACAUGGGAAAAUUUAUCGGAAAAGAAAAGCUGAUGAUACAGAAGUUUCUUCAUCAGCAAAAAGACAAGUUUUUGAAUCAACAAUUAGAUCUCCGAAGAUCUCGAGUCCCAGAAGAGCUGAUGUGCUUUCUCGUGAUAGUUCAUUUAAAAACUCAGAUAGGGGAAAAGUGAAGCCUGCUUCUCAAAUUCCUCCUGGUGUUCAGACUGGUAAGAGCAUUCCAGAGGUUGCAAAUCCUUCUCUAGAUGCACGACAAAGCACAUCUCGAGGUAAGCUAAAACCAAACUAAGUUGCUUUGUGUGCUACGAUGCAUCGUUUUAUACUCAGCAUAGUACUAAUUUAAGCCCUUGAUCUCCUAGGCACUUUUUUGAGGUCCAAAUCAUUCAGUUCAGCAAGUGCAAAACAAAAAGUUAAGCACAUAGAUGAAGUAGUUCCUCAAAAGCAUAAAUCUAACAGAGAUAAUGCCUCCCUUGGCACAAAGGGAGGGGGCAGCAGGACUAUGGGCAAAUCUAUGUCAUUCCAUGCUUUUAACUCGGGUGGUUCGAAUUCAACUGACUUGAAAGCUAAAAUGUUCUCUCCAAAGUAUUCUCAUGGUCAGGAUAUAAAAGGACAGAAUACUAAAGAGCGGAGCUUGGUUGAGAGAAAAAAUUCACUGAGAUUAGAACGUCCUCUGGUCAAUUCGGUAGUAACCACUUCUACUACCUUAUCUCCUGAGGUUGAUAGAAACCUACCUGUUCGUGAUAAAACUGGUCCAUUUUGUUCGACAAGUAACAAUCGUGAUGUGAAGUCCGCUCAGUCUGACAAUAAAUUGAUACAAGUGUCCAGACCAGUUAAUAAAGCUAUCAGUAACGGUUCAGAUGUACCUGUUCUUUCAGGUAUAAUAUUAUGCUGUAUUUGUAUUCUUUUGAGCAAUAUACAUUAUACAUGUUUAAAGGUGAAUAAUUCGUGCGUUUAUAUGUUAAUAUGCACACAAAAUUUUAUCUUCAAAUUAAGCAUCAUUUCAUUUCCCUUGUUUAUUCUGUGAACUGGUUUAGGUGAAGGUACAAAGCAGUUGUCUGCCAGCAGAAACGACAAUGAUGAAGGGAAGACUGUAAAUGCUAAAACGAAGGUUGAUUGCUCUUCAACUUCUCUUAGCAUUGAAGGGCCAAUUAGCAAAUCUAGUGAAAGUUUACCAGAUGGGUUAAAUAAGACCCGAGUAUCGACAAAUAUGGUUGAGAGUGCCAGGGGAAAUUCUAAUACUCAAUUGAAGCAUAGUACAGCUGGUGAAAAAUUUACUCUGUGUCAGAAAUGCAAAGAAGUUGGCCACUCUGCAGAGUUCUGCACCAUUGACAGCCCAGAGAAGUCACUUGUUCCAGAUCUUCAUACUUCAAGAAGUUCGAAGGAUCUGAUCCACAAAGAUAACAAGUUGAAAGCUGCUAUUGAAGCUGCAUUGCUUAAAAAGCCUGGAUUAUACAGAAAGAAGAGAACUACAGACCACUUUGAUGAGUUAACUGUGUCUGGCAUUAAUAGUGAAGUAUGUUCUCAAGAUCAGCAAACUAACACCCGUAUCCUAAGAAAAUCGGUGUCCGGAGACGAGGUUAGUAUGGAGGCAGCAAGUGCAUGGAACACCAAUACAGAGUUUGUAAAGCAGGCAACUGGUGCGGAUGUGAAGCAAUUAACAAACUCAGCUGAAGCAGUUACAGCCUUGUUACAUUGGCCUCUUCCCCCUGCCACAGUCAAGUCUGUUAUGGACUUGCCAAGUAAUUCUCAUAUGUCAAUUUCUGACCUUCCGAUCACGUUAGCCAUCCCGAAGCAUGAAUACAUUUGGCAGUAUGUUUUUCUUGUCCGUUUAUAUUUGUGCGCCAAACUCCAUUUAUUUUUUGUAGUAACGACCUUGUCUCUUCAUAUAGCUUAGGCUCUAAAGCUAUCUUUUUGUUGUGCAGAGGGUGUUUUGAGGUAUGUAGAAGUGGAAAACAGCCAGGCUGUUAUGAUGGAUUUCAAGCCCAUUUGUCAGCCGGCGCAUCACUAAAAGUUCUUGAAACAAUAAACAAGUUUCCAAGCACAGUUGUUUUGAAUGAAUUACCUCGUCACAGUGUGUGGCCGAUACAGUUUGAGGAAAAUGGAGUUAAGGAGGAACACAUUGCCCUAUAUUUUUUUGCUAGAGAUCAUGAAAGGUACUUUUCUUGUUUCCCCUUUAACCCUUUUUGUAAGUAAUUCUGCUCCCAUAUCCAGAUGAAAGUGAUUUCAUAUUACCUGUUGGUGAUAAUUUUUAUGUUGCUCAUAACCCAGCUACGAGAAAAGCUACAAGUCGAUUCUGGAGAGUAUGAUCAGGAAUGACCUUGCUCUGAAAGGGAACAUUGAUGGUGUUGAAAUUUUGAUAUUUCCAUCUAAUCAGCUUCCGGUGAAAUACCAGCGUAAGAUAUUGAAUUCUUAUGUCAUAUUAGAUGUGAAUGACAGUAAACUACCCGGUCAAUAAAUUGUCUUGUAGAAGCUCCUGUGAAUCAGAUCUUUUUGUAUGACUUAAGGUUGUGUGUUCUAAUUGCUUCUUAAUACUAGCUCAUGAUUGUGUUCGUCACUGAUGGCAGGUCUGGCAAUAGGGCAACAUUUUUCCUAAAUAAACAUAAGUUUGGAAUUAUUUUUCCUAAAAGAACAUUAAUUUGGAACUUUUUACACAUGCAAGUCUGUAUUUCAUCUGCGGAGUUUUUUGUUUUGAGAAUAUAGAAAGGGACGUAAUAAAGCUGAUACUUUAGUGGUAAAUGCCAGCUUCUUAAGGUGUUUAGCUGAGCUUGUGCCUGUUUCUUAACUUGAAACUAAACAAAAAAUCAUGUUAGUUUCUUAUUUAGGCUAUAUGCGGCAGGGGGAACAAUAUAAUGAUCGUAGCUUCUGUGACAUGUAGAAGCUUGAGCAGAUAGAAAUAAGUUAUUUUUGUUUCGAGGCUUCGAUGACUCAUUUAGUAAGAGCUUAAAUUUGUUUAAGAAUUGCAGGGGGGGCCUUUUUGUUUACAACACCUCACAGGACUAAACCUUGGAGGGGGUUUCAUACGUUCUACACGUCAUAAGAAGGGAUUUGAUGCAUGAUAAUGGGUCAAAAUCCCAAUGAAAGUAUUUGGGAGUAAUAUAGAAGGCUUUGUAAGCUCAAUACUUGAAAUUUUCUGGAAGUAGUUUAUUUUUUUGUAUUAUUAUAUAUAGCUGAUUAUUAUAUGUUUAGGAAUAGAUUAUGAUAUUAUAUAACUAGGAAAUAUGUUAAUUAUAUAUACAAAAUGAUUUGCUGUAAUAAAGGCAGAUUUUAUGACUGAACUAAUAUAUUGAGUUGUAUGCUAAAUAUCUCUUGCAAGAGAUUUCUACUAAACCCUAACCUGCCACCCUCCUACAUCAGGUUUCUUCGUCUCAACUCUUUGCUUUGCUACUUGUCCUACUUCAGAUAUACUAUUGUUUGUGUUAUUGGAAGUGUUGUAAUUUCUACCUCCAAAUUUCGGACGAAGCGGAUGUGGACAAAAUUAUCUUUUGAAUACCUUGAAAUAUGCACACAUCUCAUACAGAAAACAUAACACAUCUAUUAAGGGCCUUCUUUUUCAUCUGAAACAACUCAAAGUCCCCAUUAGCUGUGUUGCUUGUCCUCUUCUCUCUAAAUUAUUAGUGUCCUCAAAAUAUGUAACACAUUGAAAACGCUCUUUCAAGAAGAUUCAAAGUUUGUAAUAGUUAUAAUUGGUAAAUAUCUUUUAAUUAGUUUAUAUAUUAUGAGAGGAGUCACUUAACUUGGGAAUUGAGUAAUUAAUGGUGCACAGGGAAUUGUUGAUCAGCUGAAUGCAAAAUCAUAAAAAUUGAAAAGCUACGAAUAGAAUAAAAUUAUAUCGAGUUUAUAAUUGUUGAUUUACUGUAAUAUAGUAUAUCUUCCAUUUGUUUGUGUAGAUUUAUUGUAAGCAUCUCUUUUUGCAGGUUGGAAUGCAAUGUUCUUUUUCUGGGGUGUACUUAAAGGAAAGAGAAACAGUUGCUUGCAAAAAGUGCCUGUUUCCCCAAAGAAAACAGCUGGUUCCCGAGACACGGGCACAGCUAAUAUGUCUUCUUCACUUGUUCCAGUAGACAAAGAUUCGCCUACAUUUAAGAAAGCUGGUAAGACGAUAUCUGAUGUCCAUCCAAUGAUAGAUCUGCAGUGUUCACCAUUAACGAAAAAGAAUAAUGGGAAUAUUGAUGGUAAAUCAGUAUCCCAUUCCCAACAAAGUGAUUGUGUAAAUGCUACAAAGGAACAGCAAGGGUGCAGACUUGACUGCAAUUCAGUACCUACUGACGAAAUCAAACCUCCAGAAUCAUGGGAAGAUACUGGAUCCAGAACAAAUUCGCUGGUAAUUAUACUUUUUUAAGCUGGCUUACUUUGGCAAAGUACAACCUCUUGCCUGUUCUUUAUGUAAAACAGUCUGUUAUCUUUGUCAUAAAAAUGAAGACCCAAGAUGCAUAAAGUGUGCUCAUUCACAUCUAAACUUUUUUAUCUACUCCCAACUGAUAUAUGAGUUGUACCACACUCUUGUACAUUCCACUUGUGAAGUUGUGAUAGUCCAGCACUCUCUGUGGUGCAGUACUUGCGGUAGUCCAUUCUCUGUCUUGGGUAAUAUAAGCUCAGUCAGCUUUAAUUGUGGUGGACAAUAGUUAUUUUUGCCCAUGUGGCGAUAUUCAUAAUGUUGUUCUGUGGCUGUUGAACUUUGUAACCGUCUUGUGCUUUAUAUGGACGUUAGAACAUAUCAUUGAGACGUCUGUAAUUAUUCUACUUUGACUUUUUUGUUGAUUAUUUGCAUAUAAUAAAUAUGUAUAACCUCUUAGGCAUGAUCUGUAGCUUUGUGCUAAAUUGUGGUGUUCAAUUGAAUUCUUUUUACUUCCUGUAGGAGAGACAGGUUGAUAAGGACUCCGCAAUCAAAGUUGCCAGAAGUGCUUGCGACUCUAACUCUUCUGAUGAUAAGGAGACAGGUCACUUGAGUACUCCAUAUGAUCUGCAUCAUUUGCCUCAGAUUAACAGUAAAGUUGCAGCUGGCGAGCAAGAUCCUGCUUCCUCACGAAUCUUAGGGGAGGUAGAUAAUGAAGAGAAACUGAGAAUGGGGAAUUCUGGUACUGAAGGAUUUUUUGAAGCGGAAACUGUUGCGGAGAAGGUGACUCCGAAACUUCCAAGUCACAAGGAACCUUACAGCCGGCCUUCAACUUGCACAAAGCAAUUAAAUAUUGAUUCUCUAGUGUCAAAAUCAGAAGCCAGUAUUUUUGGCUCAAGUCAAGCUCUACAUGUGAAUGACAGAGACAGCAUAUUUGAUACUGGAGGAAUUGUGAAUAAAAAACCAAGAUUGGACUACAAUGAUCUGUAUGACCUGAAUGAUCACACAAGUUCUUCAAGAGAUAGUUUAUUGAUGCAAGAUUCAGUGACCAG
rnacentral:lncRNA from 1 species